AUGAACGCUGGCGGCGUGCCUAAUCCCUGCAAGUCGAGCGAACAGAUGAGGAGCUUGCUCCUCUGACGUUAGCGGCGGACGGGUGAGUAACACGUGGAUAACCUACCUAUAAGACUGGGAUAACUUCGGGAAACCGGAGCUAAUACCGGAUAAUAUAUUGAACCGCAUGGUUCAAUAGUGAAAGACGGUUUUGCUGUCACUUAUAGAUGGAUCCGCGCCGCAUUAGCUAGUUGGUAAGGUAACGGCUUACCAAGGCAACGAUGCGUAGCCGACCUGAGAGGGUGAUCGGCCACACUGGAACUGAGACACGGUCCAGACUCCUACGGGAGGCAGCAGUAGGGAAUCUUCCGCAAUGGGCGAAAGCCUGACGGAGCAACGCCGCGUGAGUGAUGAAGGUCUUCGGAUCGUAAAACUCUGUUAUUAGGGAAGAACAAAUGUGAAAGUAACUAUGCACGUCUUGACGGUACCUAAUCAGAAAGCCACGGCUAACUACGUG
rnacentral:rRNA from 1 species